GCAAGCCGAGCGGUAGAGAUCUUUCGGGAUCUUGAGAGCGGCGUACGGGUGCGGAACACGUGUGCAACCUGCCUUUAUCUGGGGGAUAGCCUUUCGAAAGGAAGAUUAAUACCCCAUAAUAUGUUGGAUGGCAUCAUUCGACAUUGAAAACUCCGGUGGAUAGAGAUGGGCACGCGCAAGAUUAGAUAGUUGGUGAGGUAACGGCUCACCAAGUCUGCGAUCUUUAGGGGGCCUGAGAGGGUGAUCCCCCACACUGGUACUGAGACACGGACCAGACUCCUACGGGAGGCAGCAGUGAGGAAUAUUGGACAAUGGGUGAGAGCCUGAUCCAGCCAUCCCGCGUGAAGGACGACGGCCCUAUGGGUUGUAAACUUCUUUUGUAUAGGGAUAAACCUACUCUCGUGAGAGUAGCUGAAGGUACUAUACGAAUAAGCACCGGCUAACUCCGUGCCAGCAGCCGCGGUAAUACGGAGGGUGCAAGCGUUAUCCGGAUUUAUUGGGUUUAAAGGGUCCGUAGGCGGAUCUGUAAGUCAGUGGUGAAAUCUCACAGCUUAACUGUGAAACUGCCAUUGAUACUGCAGGUCUUGAGUGUUGUUGAAGUAGCUGGAAUAAGUAGUGUAGCGGUGAAAUGCAUAGAUAUUACUUAGAACACCAAUUGCGAAGGCAGGUUACUAAGCAACAACUGACGCUGAUGGACGAAAGCGUGGGGAGCGAACAGGAUUAGAUACCCUGGUAGUCCACGCCGUAAACGAUGCUAACUCGUUUUUGGGCUUUCGGGUUCAGAGACUAAGCGAAAGUGAUAAGUUAGCCACCUGGGGAGUACGAACGCAAGUUUGAAACUCAAAGGAAUUGACGGGGGCCCGCACAAGCGGUGGAUUAUGUGGUUUAAUUCGAUGAUACGCGAGGAACCUUACCAAGGCUUAAAUGGGAAAUGACAGGUUUAGAAAUAGACUUUUCUUCGGACAUUUUUCAAGGUGCUGCAUGGUUGUCGUCAGCUCGUGCCGUGAGGUGUUAGGUUAAGUCCUGCAACGAGCGCAACCCCUGUCACUAGUUGCCAUCAUUAAGUUGGGGACUCUAGUGAGACUGCCUACGCAAGUAGAGAGGAAGGUGGGGAUGACGUCAAAUCAUCACGGCCCUUACGCCUUGGGCCACACACGUAAUACAAUGGCCGGUACAGAGGGCAGCUACACAGCGAUGUGAUGCAAAUCUCGAAAGCCGGUCUCAGUUCGGAUUGGAGUCUGCAACUCGACUCUAUGAAGCUGGAAUCGCUAGUAUCGCG
rnacentral:rRNA from 1 species